rnacentral:rRNA from 1 species
AGCGAACGCUGGCGGCAGGCCUAACACAUGCAAGUCGAACGGAUCCUUCGGGAUUAGUGGCGGACGGGUGAGUAACACGUGGGAACGUGCCCUUUGGUUCGGAACAACUCAGGGAAACUUGAGCUAAUACCGGAUGUGCCCUUCGGGGGAAAGAUUUAUCGCCAUUGGAGCGGCCCGCGUCUGAUUAGCUAGUUGGUGAGGUAAAGGCUCACCAAGGCGACGAUCAGUAGCUGGUCUGAGAGGAUGAUCAGCCACACUGGGACUGAGACACGGUCCAAACUCCUGCGGGAGGCAGCAGUGGGGAAUUUUGCGCAAUGGGCGAAAGCCUGACGCAGCCAUGCCGCGUGAAUGAUGAAGGUCUUAGGAUUGUAAAACUCUUUCACCGGGGACGAUAAUGACGGUACCCGGAGAAGAAGCCCCGGCUAACUUCGUGCCAGCCGCCGCCGUAAUAC